rnacentral:rRNA from 1 species
AUACGAAGGGGGCUAGCGUUGUUCGGAAUUACUGGGCGUAAAGCGCGCGUAGGCGGAUACUUAAGUCAGGGGUGAAAUCCCGAGGCUCAACCUCGGAACUGCCCUUGAUACUGGGUAUCUUGAGUUCGAGAGAGGUAAGUGGAAUUCCGAGUGUAGAGGUGAAAUUCGUAGAUAUUCGGGGGAACACCAGAGGCGAAGGCGGCUUACUGGCUCGAUACUGACGCUGAGGCGCGAAAGCGUGGGGAGCAAACCGGAUUAGAUACCCGGGUAGUCC